rnacentral:rRNA from 1 species
GACGAACGCUGGCGGCGUGCUUAACACAUGCAAGUCGAACGAAGUGGCGAACGGGUGAGUAACGCGUAAUCCACCUGCCCUUCAGAGGGGGACAACAGUUGGAAACGACUGCUAAUACCGCUUACUGCAGGAGGGGAUUGAGUCUGAUUCGCGCGUGGGAGGGGUAACGGCCAACCAAGGCGAUGAUCAGUAGCCGGUCUGAGCGGAGUAACGGCAACAUUGGGACUGAGACACGGACCAGACUCCUACGGGAGGCAGCAGUGGGGAAUCUUCCGCAAUGGAAGAAAGUCUGACGGAGCAACGCCGCGUGAGUGAUGACGGCCUUCGGGUUGUAAAGCUCUGUUAAUCGGGACGCGGUACCGGAAUAGAAAGCCACGGCUAACUACGUGCCAGCAGCCGCGGUAAUUC